AACGUAGGACACAAGCGUUAUCCGGAGUUACUGGGCGUAAAGGGCGUGUAGGCGGACCUAUAAGUCUAUUCUGAAAGCUCCUGGCUAAACUAGAAAAAACGAAUGAAGACUGUAGAUCUAGAGUGAGGAAGAGGAAAGUGGAAUUCCGCGUGUAGUGGUGAAAUGCGUAGAGAUGCGGAGGAACACCAGUGGCGAAAGCGACUUUCUGGUCCUUAACUGACGCUGAGGCGGCGAAAAGCAUGGGGGAGC
rnacentral:rRNA from 1 species